rnacentral:rRNA from 1 species
UACAGAGGGGGCAAGCGUUAUUCGGAAUUAUUGGGCGUAAAGGGCGCGUAGGCGGCCAUUCAAGUGACGGGUGAAAGCCCUCGGCUUAACCGAGGAACUGCCUGUCAGACUGGAUGGCUUGAGACCGGGAGAGGUGAGUGGAAUUCCCAGUGUAGCGGUGAAAUGCGCAGAUAUCAGGAGGAACACCGAUGGCGAAGGCAGGUCUCUGGGCAUUAACUGACGCUGAGGAGCGAAAGCAUGGGGAGCGAACAGG